UACGUAGGGUGCGAGCGUUACUCGGAAUUACUGGGCGUAAAGCGUGCGCAGGCGGUUUUGUAAGCCAGAUGUUAAAUCCCCGGGCUUAACCUGGGAAUGGCAUUUGGGACUGCAAGGCUGGAGUGUGGCAGAGGAGACUGGAAUUCAUGGUGUAGCAGUGAAAUGCGUAGAGAUCAUGAGGAAGACCAGUGGCGAAGGCGGGUCUCUGGACAGUUCCUGACACUGAGACACGAAGGCCAGGGGAGCAAACGGG
rnacentral:rRNA from 1 species